rnacentral:rRNA from 1 species
UACGGAAGGCAGCAGUGGGGAAUAUUGCACAAUGGGCGCAAGCCUGAUGCAGCCAUGCCGCGUGUAUGAAGAAGGCCUUCGGGUUGUAAAGUACUUUCAGUCGUGAGGAAGGUGUUAAGGUUAAUAACCUUAGCAAUUGACGUUAGCGACAGAAGAAGCACCGGCUAACUCCGUGCCAGCAGCCGCGGUAAUACGGAGGGUGCGAGCGUUAAUCGGAAUUACUGGGCGUAAAGGGCACGCAGGCGGUUAAUAAGUUGGAUGUGAAAUCCCCGGGCUUAACCUGGGAAUGGCAUUCAAGACUGGUUAGCUAGAGUCUUGUAGAGGGGGUAGAAUUCCGAUGUGUAGCGGUGAAAUGCGUAGAGAUGUGGAGGAAUACCGGUGGCGAAGGCGGCCCCUGGACAAGACUGACGCUCAUGUGCGAAAGCGUGGGGAGCAAACAGGGAUUAGAUACC